rnacentral:rRNA from 1 species
CACGUAGGUAAUCUACCUUCGGGUGGGGAAUAACCCAGGGAAACUUGGGCUAACACCGCAUGAUGCAGCGGCACCACAUGGUGACAGUUGUUAAAGCGGGGGAUUUUCGGACCUCGCGCCUGAAGAGGAGCCUGCGGCGGAUUAGCUAGUUGGUGAGGUAACGGCUCACCAAGGUAACGAUCCGUAGCCGGCCUGAGAGGGCGGUCGGCCACACUGACACUGACAUACGGGUCAG